rnacentral:ncRNA from 1 species
CAUUUGGCAAUGAAGAGGAUUAGUACAUGUAAGCGAGCCUCAGAGAGGGGAUCAUCUGGUGCAAGAUUUCCGCUUAGAACUGCAUGGAACCCGCCUUGGAGCCACUGCAUGAAAGUGCAGCGUCCUGCCAGCGUUAAUGGUUAAUGAGAGAACUGCGAAAGGGUCGCAGUUAACUAGGGUGGUACCGCCGAGCUUUUCGGUCCCUUUU